GGGCACAUGGUGUAGUUGGUUAUCACGCUCGCUUAGCAUAUGUUUAUCACGUGAUCUGCGAGAGGUGUCCGGUUCAAUUCCGGAUGUGUCCA